rnacentral:antisense_RNA from 1 species
UGUAGGAGCUGGCUUGCCAGCGAAGCUUUUUGGCGUCUGUACUGACGCCUUCGCUGGCAAGCCAGCUCCUACA